CGGACGUCGACCGGCGCACGGGUGAGUAACGCGUAUCCAACCUUCCCGUUACUGCGGGAUAACCUGCCGAAAGGCAGACUAAUACCGCAUGUUCUUCGAUGACGGCAUCAGAUUCGAAGCAAAUAUCCGUCGGUAACGGAGGGGGAUGCGUCUGAUUAGCUAGUUGGCGGGGCGACGGCCCACCAAGGCGACGAUCAGUAGGGGUUCUGAGAGGAAGGUCCCCCACAUUGGAACUGAGACACGGUCCAAACUCCUACGGGAGGCAGCAGCC
rnacentral:rRNA from 1 species